rnacentral:rRNA from 1 species
CCUACGGGUGGCAGCAGUGAGGAAUAUUGGUCAAUGGGCGCGAGCCUGAACCAGCCAAGUAGCGUGAAGGAUGAAUGCCCUACGGGUUGUACACUUCUUUUAUAACAGAAUAAAGUGAGGCACGUGUGCCUUUUUGUAUGUACUUUAUGCAUAAGGAUCGGCUAACUCCGUGCCAGCAGCCGCGGUAAUACGGAGGAUCCGAGCGUUAUCCGGAUUUAUUGGGUUUAAAGGGAGCGUAGGUGGGUUGUUAAGUCAGGUGUGAAAGUUUGCGGCGCAACCGUAAAAUUGCAGUUGAUACUGGCAGUCUUGAGUACAGUUGAGGUAGGCGGAAUUCGUGGUGUAGCGGUGAAAUGCUUAGAUAUCACGAAGAACUCCGAUUGCGAAGGCAGCUUACUAAACUGCAACUGACACUGAUGCUCGAAAGUGUGGGUAUCAAACAGGAUUAGAUACCCGUGUAGUC